CGAAAAGCGUCGGUAAGGUGAUAUGAACCGUUAUAGCCGGCGAUGUCCGAAUGGGGAAACCCAGUGCAAUUCGUUGCACUAUCGUUAACUGAAUACAUAGGUUAACGAGGCGAACCGGGGGAACUGAAACAUCUAAGUACCCCGAGGAAAAGAAAUCAACCGAGAUUCCCCCAGUAGCGGCGAGCGAACGGGGAGCAGCCCAGAGUCUGAAUCAGCUUGUGUGUUAGUGGAACGGUCUGGAAAGUCCGACGGUACAGGGUGAUAGUCCCGUACACCAAAAUGCACAGGUUGUGAACUCGAAGAGUAGGGCGGGACACGUGGUAUCCUGUCUGAAUAUGGGGGGACCAUCCUCCAAGGCUAAAUACUCCUGACUGACCGAUAGUGAACCAGUACCGUGAGGGAAAGGCGAAAAGAACCCCGGCGAGGGGAGUGAAAAAGAACCUGAAACCGUGUACGUACAAGCAGUGGGAGCACCUUCGGGUGUGACUGCGUACCUUUUGUAUAAUGGGUCAGCGACUUAUAUUCUGUAGCAAGGUUAACCGUAUAGGGGAGCCGCAGGGAAACCGAGUCUUAACUGGGCGUUAAGUUGCAGGGUAUAGACCCGAAACCCGGUGAUCUAGCCAUGGGCAGGUUGAAGGUUGGGUAACACUAACUGGAGGACCGAACCGACUAAUGUUGAAAAAUUAGCGGAUGACUUGUGGCUGGGGGUGAAAGGCCAAUCAAACCGGGAGAUAGCUGGUUCUCCCCGAAAGCUAUUUAGGUAGCGCCUCGUGAA
rnacentral:rRNA from 1 species